CACUUUAACACUGAGGCGUGACGACGAGGCACUACGGUGCUGAAGCAACAAAUGCCCUGCUUCCAGGAAAAGCCUCUAAGCAUCAGGUAACACGAAAUCGUACCCCAAACCGACACAGGUGGUCAGGUAGAGAAUACCAAGGCGCUUGAGAGAACUCGGGUGAAGGAACUAGGCAAAAUGGUGCCGUAACUUCGGGAGAAGGCACGCUGACACGUAGGUGAAGUGAUUUACUCAUGGAGCUGAAGUCAGUCGAAGA
rnacentral:rRNA from 1 species